GUCAGGAUGGCCGAGUGGUCUAAGGCGCCAGACUUGAGAGGGCGAGAGUUCAAAUCCUACUUCUGACA
rnacentral:tRNA from 1 species